rnacentral:lncRNA from 1 species
AUUGAUGGUUUAUGGGCCUUGGGUAUGUGCAUUGGAUCUGAAUUUUGGUUUAAUUGAUUUGGGCUUACUUAUUUUUCGUGUAAUUUACUAGAUUGGUUGGAUCAUUGAAUUUGGUUUGUUGGAUUUCCUAUUGAACCUUUGAUUUAUUUCUUUGGGUUUAUUUUGGGAUUAUUUUUGUUUUAUAUUUACUGGUAGGUUAUUGAUUAGUUUGAUUUGG